AGAUUUUGGAUCGUCCUCUACUCACUCUACCACUUUGUUUUUCCUUGCCAGACUUCAUUCAAGAAGCCUGCUACAAGAGAGACAGCGAAAGGGAGCCUCAAAGACAUUUUUAUUAGGAUCUGCUAAUCAUGAGGGGGCAGACAAAAGAACCUGCAUUUUCCUUCAGCUUAAUAUCAGGGGUCGCCACAGCGUAAGGAACUGGAUAUUACUUUGGCAUGUUUUACAUAGCCUUCCAGCUGC
rnacentral:lncRNA from 1 species